rnacentral:rRNA from 1 species
GUCUAACCUGCUCUAUGAGGAAUUAAAUGGCCGCAGUAUUUUGACUGUGCAAAGGUAGCAUAAUUAUUAGUUUUUUAAUUGGAAACUAGAAUGAAUGGUUGAAUAAAAUAUUAACUGUCUUAAUUUUAUUAAAAUAGAAUUUUAUUUUUUAGUUAAAAAGCUAAGAUUUUAUUAAAAGACGAGAAGACCCUAUUAAUCUUUAUAUUUUAGUUUUAAGUUAUAUUAUAGAUAAAUUUAUUAUUUAUGAUGAAAGUAUUUUAUUGGGGUGAUAUUAAAAUUUGAUUAACUUUUAAUUUAUAUUGACAUAUAUUAAUGGAUUAUUGAUCCAUAUUGAGUGAUUAAAAAAUUAAGUUACUAUAGGGAUAACAGCGUAAUUUUUUUGGUAAGUUCUUAUUAAUAAAAAAGAUUGCGACCUCGAUGUUGGAUUAAGAUAAGGUUUAGGUGAAGAAGUUUAAAUUUU